UACGUAGGGGGCAAGCGUUGUCCGGAAUCAUUGGGCGUAAAGCGCGCGUAGGCGGCCCGAUAAGUCCGCUGUGAAAGUCAAAGGCUCAACCUUUGAAAGCCGAUGGAUACUGUGAGGCUAGAGUCCGGAAGAGGCGAGUGGAAUUCCUGGUGUAGCGGUGGAAUGCGCAGAUAUCAGGAGGAACACCAAUAGCGAAGGCAGCUCGCUGGGACGGUACUGACGCUAAGGCGCGAAAGCGUGGGGAGCGAACAGG
rnacentral:rRNA from 1 species